rnacentral:misc_RNA from 1 species
AUGCAUGAAAGCUACAAGCCGCUUUCGAAGUAUAGAGCUCCAAAUCUUAUCUGAGAGUUCUGCUUGGAAUUUAAAUAAGUAAAUAAAGACAAAAUAAUGUCAAAUAAAAAAUUUUCUGUUCCUGAAACUAUAGACGAUUCCUUUGACGAUAUUAUAAGUGGCCCUCAGUGUUUUAAAUCGGGAAAAGUUCUUACCGAGAAAGAGAGUAGCGAAAGCACUUCAUCGACGCUUCCAUCUAGUGAUAAAAAUGAAUCGACUUCUUCAAAAGCUGCUUCAACUAGAUUUGAAAAAGAAUUUUUAAAUCUGCGGGAAUCUAAAUUUUUUGAUGGCUCUAUUGACAAUCAGAGUGAAAAGAAACAUUUAGAAAAACCAGGCAAUUACUCUGCGAUUCUUGUUAAUCCUAGGCAGAGAGGAAAUCCUCUGUUGAAACACAUAAGGAAUGUGCCCUGGGAGUUCGGUGAGAUUGAGCCUGAUUAUGUGAUUGGAAAAACAUCCUGUGCUCUGUUUUUGAGCUUGAGGUAUCACAACUUAUAUCCAAAUUAUAUUCAUGAUAGAUUGAAAGCUCUUGGGAAAUCAUACAAUCUGCGUGUUUUGUUGGUUCAAGUAGAUGUAACUGAACCGAACCCACCUUUGAAAGACCUGUCUGUUAUCUCAAUUUUAGCUGACUGUACAUUAAUGGUCUGUUGGAGUGCAGAGGAAGCUGGCAGUUACUUAGAAACAUAUAAGAUGUUUGAAAAUAAGUCAGCUGAUUUCAUUAAAAAGAGGCAAGACAAUGAUAAUUAUUCACAGCUUGUGGAUUGUUUGACAACAAUAAGAUCAAUCAAUAAGACAGAUGCAAUGGUUUUGCUUUCUACCUUUAAGACUCUAAAAGGUAUUGUGUCAGCAUCUGUUGAAGAAUUAACACUAUGUCAUGGUAUGGGGCCAUUAAAAUGAACUGAAAAUAAUAAAAAUUGAAGAAUAUUUUAGAGGAGAGGAAGAAAUGAUUUGUGGCCAACAGAUUGUAUGAAGCAUUGAGAAAACCAUUGAAAAAG